GUCGAACGGCAGCACGGGAGCAAUCCUGGUGGCGAGUGGCGAACGGGUGAGUAAUAUAUCGGAACGUGCCCAGUCGUGGGGGAUAACGCAGCGAAAGCUGUGCUAAUACCGCAUACGAUCUCUGGAUGAAAGCGGGGGACUCGCAAGAGCCUCGCGCGAUUGGAGCGGCCGAUAUCAGAUUAGCUAGUUGGUGGGGUAAAAGCCCACCAAGGCGACGAUCUGUAGCUGGUCUGAGAGGACGACCAGCCACACUGGAACUGAGACACGGUCCAGACUCCUACGGGAGGCAGCAGUGGGGAAUUUUGGACAAUGGGCGCAAGCCUGAUCCAGCAAUGCCGCGUGCAGGAUGAAGGCCUUCGGGUUGUAAACUGCUUUUGUACGGAACGAAACGGUCGCCUCUAAUAAAGGUGGCUAAUGACGGUACCGUAAGAAUAAGCACCGGCUAACUACGUGCCAGCAGCCGCGGUAAUACGUAGGGUGCGAGCGUUAAUCGGAAUUACUGGGCGUAAAGCGUGCGCAGGCGGUGAUGUAAGACAGAUGUGAAAUCCCCGGGCUCAACCUGGGAC
rnacentral:rRNA from 1 species